AUGAAUUUACAGACAGGUGGAGGGGACAGUGACAUCUCAAGGAACUUUGCACACAUUGGAUAUUUUCUGUGUGGACCUUUGGGCUCUAGACUCACGGUAAGCAUGAAAGAGGGCCAACAUGUUUUCCUUUAUAGGGCAGCAUCAGGAGUGCAUAUUUGUUGCAACAUUUAUUCUGUCUGGCCAACUCUGCUGUGUGUGCCAACCAUGCUGAUCACACAACAAUUUAGGUUUUUGGCAGAUUUUCCUGCCAUUUGCGUUGGGGUAAAGGUAAUAUUCUGUGUAAAAAGACUGUGUAGACUAAUAUGUCUGAGGACCUCUAAGGCAAUCCCAGGACAGUUUGGAUGUUGAGGUGCAGUAAUGAAAUCUUGGUAAGCACAACAUGUUCACUACAAAUAGUAAUUGUCAUCAGCAUGGCCCACUAGAGCUGUGGUUCAAUUUCUUUUCCCUUGUAUACAGUUAAGCAGAGGCUCUGAACUAUCCUAUAAUGAAGAAAUACAUUACACGUGCCAUGCAUCUUGACAUGUUAUCAGGGUUUUACUGUCAAACAUGAGUGAAUACUGAAAACAUCCUAUUGGUAAGAUGAUGGUAAUCGCAGAUGGGGAAAAUGAAAUUAAAUCUACCUGAAUUUUCAGGUUAGUAAUGAGUCAAGGGAAGGAAGUAUCCAUGAGCAUGCUUUUCAAAGAAGUGGCUAAAUAAUUUAGUAGGAUACUUAAAUUCUUGGAUUAUGCUUUUCAGUUUGUUGGAUUCUAAUGAGACAGAGAAAAGCGUAUUGUAACAUUUUUAUGCUUGAGCACAAUAAAAAGAAUGAUAUUUAAGAAACAAUCAGUGUGUGGUCUUGCCUUCUUGAAUGAAAAUGAAAAGAAAACAACUUCCUUUAAUAAAUCUAAAUAACAUAUAAUGAUAAUGUUAGUAUCAGCAAAAUGAUAGCAUUUAUUAUGUACCAGGUGCUGGCUAACCAUUUUACCUGUAUUAACUCAUUUAAUCCUUCCAACAAUACUAUGAAGUUGGUAUUG
rnacentral:lncRNA from 1 species